rnacentral:lncRNA from 1 species
AAAAAAAUUAUAAAGAAAAAAAAAGAAUAAUAAAAAAUAAAAAAAAUUAUUUUCUACAUGAAAGAUCAAAAAUUAGAAGGAAAAAGAAAAAAAUAAAAUUACACUGUUAAAAAAAGUUACACUAUUUUAAAAAAAAUUUGCACUAUUUUAAACAAAAGUUAUACUUUUUGAGACAGAAAUUAUACUUUUUAGAAUAAUAGUUAUACUUUUAGGCGAAAAUUAUACUAUUUGGGUAAAAUUUAUAUCAUUUCUUAUUUCUCUGUCUUUCUCUUUUUCCUUCUCCUCCGCUUUCUCGUUCUCCUCCUCCUUCCUCCUUCUCCUCCUUCCUCUUUA